GACGGAUGUUCUAUUCACCGCAAAGGCGAGGCUAAACCUAGCUAAGUGAUAAUGCUAUAGCAUCGUUCUGGAGGAUCUUUGAACUGAAUAUUAUGCUCUACCAUAGUCACAAGGUGAGGCAUUAUGCAAGUAUGGAGAAUUUAUUGCCUUGUCGGACAGAGUACCGAUAAGCAGAUAAGAACUUAUCAACACGGACCUUCCGCUGCCGACUUACGCCGAAAGCGCUGAUAUCGCGACAUUCUUUCCUCCGUCCGUAAUAUACCUUUCAACUAGCAACUACAGCUGUGUUCCGCUGGCUAUUUGCUGUUCUUGCUCCGUGAAAGUAAGUUAUCGCUUUGUCUUUUUCCCGCAGUGUUAAAGCUGCUGGCUGCUGGAGAAAUUGUUCAGCAAAGCAUAAAUCAACAGCCCAGUUCAAAGCCCUCUUUGCUAUGUUUUCCCAACCAUCCACCAUCCCAUUCCAUCCGCCCUUCUUUUGAUCUCUCAGGACAUGAUCGGCCCCAUCGACCCGGUCAAUUUCAAUCGACAACCCUUGCUCUUUCAUGUCAUUUUCUAAUGUCAAGCUCUCUUCGAUGGGCACCAAAAGGUCUUCCUUGCCAUGUAACACAUAAGUGGGAGGAGUAUCUGGUGUGAUGGGGAGCAAUAACCAUCGUUUCUCCUCUGGUAUCAUUCUAGCCUAGACUGAUGCGGUACUUGAGCGAGUCGGGCUGAGAUUCCAGGCUCAGAUAAGACAUAGCCAAGGAAGAUGCCCGCUUUUGCCAUGCGAUCCAGAGAUUGAAACGUCCCAGCUCGCCGGUCACCUUCCCAUCAACCAGCACACUCUCGACUUCGGAUACCACAGCUCCACCACCUGUCUUCAUUAACUCAUCUGCCUUGGCCAUGUCAUGAAGUGUUAUAUCGAGGGGCAUGGUUCUCUCCACAUCAACGCCAUUGAUCCAGAAAUCGAGGAGCCAAUCACCACCCAUCCCGAACAAGUCUAGCCAGCCAAUGGGCCUAGGGACGAUACUGCUGAGGGUUGCUGCCGCUCGCGCCGGGUAAUUGCCCCCUGAUACGCCCACAACCACUAUACCCGAAGUAUCCAGGGAGAGGCCUUUGGAACAGGAUGAAUGAUAGCUCGGUUUCGGCAGAAGCGAUAUAUAUGAAAAGCGACCGCACGUCCUCUAUUAUAUCGUCCGCAGAGGACGGGAAAAGUAAUCGGUAGUUGAGGAGGAUGAGUAGGAUUUUCCGAGAUUGAAGAUAGACUGAGUAUCUUUAUGAGUUUCCAGCAGGACUGGGUGAGAGAGAUAUGUAUACUUACCUGGCAUGAAUGAUGGAUAGAUAUCGC
rnacentral:sRNA from 1 species